AGUCCAUGGUGUCGACACUUUCUAAGUAUCUCCUUGAAUCUCUCCCAAGCUUCACUUAGUGUUUAAUCUUCAAACCGUUGAAAAACAACAAUUUCAUUUUUGAACU